GUCCUCUCAGGGUCACGCAGAGAGAGUAUCCAGUACUCUACCAGCCUUGACUAUGAGAGGGAGAGUCAAGCAGAGGCACAUCCAUCCCAUUCCUAGCUUGGGCAGUGGCUAGAGAGUGGAAGGCAAUCUGCUACAAGU